UACCCGCAGCACAAGUGGUGGUCAUUAUUAUUGGGCCUAAAGCGUCCGUAGCUGGCGUGUUAGAUGCCUGGGUAAAUCGAUGCGCUCAACGUAUCGAAUUCCGGGUAGACCGGCACGCUCGAGACCGGGAGAGGCAUGGGGUACUCGGGGGGUAGGGGUAAAAUCCUGUAACCCUCCGGGGACGACCAGUGGCGAAGGCGCCAUGCUAGAACGGCUCUGACAGUGAGGGACGAAGCCCUGGGGCGCAAACCGG
rnacentral:rRNA from 1 species